rnacentral:lncRNA from 1 species
GGGGAACAAAGCAGUUCCACCUAAUGGCAGCCCGGCUAAAGUUCCAGUGAGCCCUGCGUUGCCUCCCCCAGCCCUGGGCAGGGGCUGGACGGGGAGAGCCCAUGAGAGAGCAAGGAUUCCUAGCCGCCGCCCUGGGAACCCUGCCACGCGAGGCUGGGCUGGUGGCCGUCUCCACGCUUUCCGGAACAGACGCCGCUCACUUCCCGGCUCCCGACGAGCCCAGCGGCGGCUCGCUGAUGUCCCCCAGCGCUGCUGGCCUGGCCCACUGGGGUGGAUGGAAAGCUACUCCAGGGAGAAGUCGGAUUCUUAAAGGCCUGCUGGACGACAGGUACCCCGGACCCCACAGCCAGAUGCCUGCCAACCUGCAGAGGAGGUGGCAGUCUGCAGCCCCGGCACAGGGCUUCCUCCACCUGAGGCCACCCCUGCAGGCCGCCUUGUUGUGGUGGCCAUGCCAGAGCCGUCCUCGGGAGACCCAGGCCUGGUUCCACCUCGGGAGCUGACUCACAGCAUCAACAGAGCCCACUCUCCCGGCCAGGAGCCACACGCCGGAGCCACAGAUUCCCCAUGCCCGGGCCUGG